AUACAACAUUGGUCUAUCUAUCGCUCAUGCUUAUCUUUUCAGACAACGUUAACAUUGCCUUCAAUUAACUACAAAUAUUUAAAGCUAAAUAUCUUGUGCUUCGCUUAUAAAAAGUAGUAGGGGAGACCGGGUACAAAAGUAACGGCGGGUCGAAAGUAACAAAUGCUCUGAAAGUAUAUCCAACAAUCAAACACCGCGUCGAUGUCGUAAGUUAACAGCGGGGCGGUACUCCCCUUCCUUGCGUUGAGUCGCCACGCGCACCUCGCGCUGCUAGGUUAUGUGAGAAGACGCUUUGUGAUUUCGCACAUCAGACGAUCGUCUAUUACUGAUCGGCCUCUACAAAUAAACAGUGAAAUUCCAUCUAAUGAUGACGACGAUAAUGACGUGUUGAAUACUUUUGAUGCAACAACCACCGCCUAAGUUUAUCCAGACACUCCAGUUGAUAAUCUUCCAGCGUCGAGUGACCAAAUUAUCGAGCAUACAGUAAGCAAUGAUUUGUCAAAUAUAGUAUCAUCUAAUCAAUGAUCCAAUUCGCCUACACCAGGACCUAGCGGGUUACAGCAAGCAAAUUCUUUUCAGAUAUUUGAUUUAACACCUAAAGAUUUGAGACCCUUACCACAAGCAGGUCGCAGGAGAGCAAAAAAGAGAGGCGUAAAAAACGUAAGACAGCAAUAUUGACGUAUACGCCCGAAAAAAAACGUAAUUGAGGAAGAACACCUAGAAAGAAUUAAAGCUAAGAGAAGGGUUUUACCAUCUGUUACUGGAAAUGGCAAGAAAAAGUUACGAAAAAGGUAAAGAAAUAUCUACGAAAGGCAAGAGAAAAGGAAAAAGACAAAGAAGGCAGCUUAAGAGAAGAAAAACAAUUCAGACGACGAAGAUUGCUAUUGUCUCGUUUGUUUAGAACCCUUUGGCAAUAGCCAGCCAAGUUAACAGUGGGUUCAAUGUAUCUCGUGCAAAAUGUGGUCACACGCCGAAUGUGUCGAUGAUGAUGCUAAUUAUAUGUGUCACAAUUGUAAGCCUGAAUAAAAUAAGGCAGAUUAUAAAUAUAAUUACAUAAAGUUAAAAAAAUACUGAUCAUUACUAGAAGAGAUAAUAAUCUGAUUUGCUUUCUUAAAAUGUUUUUUUUUUAGUUUUUAAGCGUUUUGAAUGCAAGUUCUUUGAAUACAUAGACUUUGAAUAAAUAAUAUGUUGAUUUAGUA